GCUACCGCCGUGCCAGCAGCCGCGGUCAUACGGAGGGUGCAAGCGUUAAUCGGAAUUACUGGGCGUAAAGCGUGCGCAGGCGGCUUAUUAAGUCAGAAGUGAAAUACCUAGGCUCAACCUAGGAACUGCAUUUGAAACUAAUAAACUAGAGUAUCGUAGAGGGAGGUAGAAUUCCAGGUGUAUCGGUGAAAUGCGUAGAUAUCUGGAGGAAUACCAGUGGCGAAGGCGACCUCCUGGACGAAAACUGACGCUCAAGCACGAAAGCAUGGGGAGCAAACAGGAUUAGAUACCCCAGUAGUC
rnacentral:rRNA from 1 species